rnacentral:misc_RNA from 1 species
AAAUGAAGCCAGAGUCUUACCCUACUCCUGAAAUCUAUGAUGCUGAGGCUGUUGACAAUGAUUCCAAAUCAAACUUACCUGAAGAAAGAGCAUCUAGUCCAGAGGAAAUGAGAAAGGAGUGUCUCCCUAACCAAGGUGAAGAAACAGAUCAGAAAUUAAAUGCCUCAGUCGAAUGGACUCGAAAAAAGGAAGCAGAACUAAACCAAUUGCUGGUGAGGAUGAUGGAAACCAAACCUACAAAAUAUCAGAACUUGGCACCUGGUGAUAGCAAACUCCAACGUCUUCCCAAUGAGCGUAGAGGUGGCUUCUAUGGUCAUUACAAAGAAAAGAGGGAUGAGAAACUUCGUGAUGGAACUACCAGGAAGCAAGCAGAGAAGGGAAAACAAUUUAAAGCACUGCA